AGUGAACGCUGGCGGUAGGCCUAACACAUGCAAGUCGAACGGCAGCACAGUAAGAGCUUGCUCUUACGGGUGGCGAGUGGCGGACGGGCGAGGAAUACAUCGGAAUCUACUUUUUCGUGGGGGAUAACGUAGGGAAACUUACGCUAAUACCGCAUACGACCUACGGGUGAAAGCAGGGGAUCUUCGGACCUUGCGCGAUUGAAUGAGCCGAUGUCGGAUUAGCUAGUUGGCGGGGUAAAGGCCCACCAAGGCGACGAUCCGUAGCUGGUCUGAGAGGAUGAUCAGCCACACUGGAACUGAGACACGGUCCAGACUCCUACGGGAGGCAGCAGUGGGGAAUAUUGGACAAUGGGCGCAAGCCUGAUCCAGCCAUACCGCGUGGGUGAAGAAGGCCUUCGGGUUGUAAAGCCCUUUUGUUGGGAAAGAAAAGCAGCAGGUUAAUACCCCGCUGUUCUGACGGUACCCAAAGAAUAAGUACCGGCUAACUUCGUG
rnacentral:rRNA from 1 species